UGGUGGAGUGAUUUGUCUGGUUAAUUCCGUUAACGAACGAGACCUCGACCUGCUAAAUAGUUUGGUGAACUCUUCGGGUUCAGACAAACUUCUUAGAGGGACUAUCGCGCGUGUAGCCGAUGGAAGUUCGAGGCAAUAACA
rnacentral:rRNA from 1 species